rnacentral:rRNA from 1 species
UACGUAGGGGGCUAGCGUUGUCCGGAUUUAUUGGGCGUAAAGAGCGUGUAGGCGGCCAAGCAGGUCCGUUGUGAAAACUGGAGGCUUAACCUCCAGACGUCGAUGGAAACCGUCUGGCUAGAGUCCGGAAGAGGAGAGUGGAAUUCCUGGUGUAGCGGUGAAAUGCGCAGAUAUCAGGAAGAACACCCGUGGCUAAGGCGGCUCUCUAGUACGGUACUGACGCUGAGACGCGAAAGCGUGGGGAGCGAACAGG